UACGUAGGGGCCUAGCGUUGUCCGGAUUUAUUGGGCGUAAAGAGCUCGUAGGCGGUUCGGUAAGUCAGGUGUAAAUCUCCACGCUCAACGUGGAGGAGCCACUUGAAACUGCCGUGACUCGAGUCCGGUAGGGGAGUGUGGAAUUCCCGGUGUAGCGGUGAAAUGCGCAGAUAUCGGGAGGAACACCAGUGGCGAAGGCGACCACCUGGGCCAACACUGACGCUCAUGCACGAAAGCGUGGGGAGCAAACAGG
rnacentral:rRNA from 1 species